GGAGGUAGUGACAAUAAAUCACAAUGCGGAACAAUGUUUUGCAAUUGGAUUGAGAACAACGUACAAACCUUAUCGAUAAACAAUUGGAGGGCAAGUCUGGUGCCAGCAGCCGCGGUAAUUCCAGCUCCAAUAGCGUAUAUUAACGUUGUUGCAGUUAAAAAGCUCGUAGUUGAAAUGAAGGGUAGUUGUGUAAUGAAUACAUUCGUGUAUUUUGUUAUUCUACUACCCUCCUUCUAAAUUCGAUAUAUGAGUAUUAAUUUACUUGUAUAUGGUUUUAGACBUUUACUGUGAGAAAAUUAGAGUGUUCAAAGCAGGCAUUUGCUUGAAUAUAUUAGCAUGGAAUAAUCAUGUAUGAUUUUCAUGAUGUAUUUGAUUGGUUUGGUUCAUGAGAAUAAGAUUAAAAGGGACAGUUGGGGGUAUUCAUAUUCAAUAGUCAGAGGUGAAAUUCUCGGAUUUAUGGAAGAUGAACAAGUGCGAAAGCAUUUACCAAGGAUGUUUUCAUUAAUCAAGAACGAAAGU
rnacentral:rRNA from 1 species